GGAGAGGUGCCGGAGCGGUUGAACGGGACGGAUUCGAAAUCCGUUGACCCUUUCGGGGGUCCCAGGGUUCGAAUCCCUGCCUCUCCGCCA
rnacentral:tRNA from 1 species